AACGGCUGCGCGCACCGCUGCGCCGGAUCCGACGAGACAGGACCACAUGCUGCACGUCAGCGGGGGUCCUGAUCAGGCAGAUGAACUCAUACCAAGGUGGGAGAAACCGUUCGCAGGUCGGGUGGGCACAGUAUGGCAGCAGAGAGGGGGGGGUAAAGCGGAAAGUUGAAGUUGCUCCAAAGCCCCAAUAAAGACUCCGAGGCAAUCUACCAGCGGUGGUUUCACAGCUGCAUCCAGAUGUUGGCCAAGCGCACCUGGCUCGUCUCGAAUAAGACGCAUCUCACCAAACAGCUGGAUGGAUGUGACCCCGCGACCUCAAACUCUAAAGGUUCGUGGCAUCGUGGCUUCUAGACAGGGAACUACCGCAACACGCAUGUUCAGCGUCACUUAUUGAUUAUAUAUGUCGCCAUUCCAAAGAGCGUCGCCUCACAAUAUAAACUCUUUUUGUGACGAUCGUUGCUGUGCUUGAUCCCCGGCCACCAUUUUCUCGCGACAAUGCCGUCUUUAAACUUACGACUCACACCUGUUCAGACAGAGCUGAUGUCCAUCAGCGGCGCGCGCGCAGGUGAAGCUCCCGCAUCCAAAGUCCUCCAACGGGCGCGUAAACCCGAUUUAUUUAUUUCUAUUUUGGAACAAGUCGGCAGGAGAGGAGGAAAGUUUGGUGACGGCGGUCCUUACCGGUCUCCUGCCCGGUGCCUCGGGGGUCAGGCGCGGCUGCGCGUGAGCUGUGGGACACGGCGCGUCCGCGGAGGACGCCGCGCGGCAGAAACACGGCUGCUGCUCCCCGUUCAGCGACGGAAUCCCACGAAACCAACAACCUCCGUGCUCCAAACAGCUGGCUCCACGGUGCUCUCCCCCCCUCGUGCCCCCCUCACUCACGCACUCACUCACUCACUCGGGCGCGCGCGCGCAUGUCUGCAGUCGCGGUCCGUCGCAGCUCGUCCCCUCCGCCAAACACCCUCUGCAUCGAUGUGCGCUGCUUGGAGACAGCUGGGGGGCUUCAGGUGAGUCCGCGCUCACCUGAGGGGGGAGGAUGGUGCCUUUGGGAGGUGAGGGGGUCCUCGGAGCGCCGCUGCUGCCCUCAUGUGGUCUGAGGGAUCCACAUAUUGUCGCUUUAAAGACACAAAGUGGCUUUUAAUAGUGAUGUUAAUGUCUUUUUUAAUGGUAUUUAUUUUUUACUUUACUUUUCAUAAUAAAGGACUUUUGUCUUGUAGGAAAGGUGCUAUCCAAAUGCAUCAAGUGUAAUAAAUGUAUAUUGCAGUUUAAUUCUUCGUAAUAAAAAUAAAGGAGGAACCAUGUUUCACGUGGAGGAGCAGCUGGGCAGAAGCUGAUGGACUGCAGCAGUAAUUCCAGCUGUAACCGGCAAAGAUGAGCGCUGUGAUGAAGGCAAACCAGUAAAUGUUGGAUCAUCAGGACGGACCUCAAUGUGUGCGACCAAGUACAGACGCUCCAGGACAGAAGCAGCGCUUUCUCUUUUAAAUCAGGGAGCUAAUGCAUCUUUGUCUUGGAUAUUUUUUUGAAACAUUAGUAAGAGAAUAACACAUUUUUAAAAUGUACACACACAAAAAAAACACCAAACAAUUCAAUGAUAAACACAGCAAUUUAUUCAACAGCGACUAAAAAUAUUUACUAUUAGAAAAAUAAAAUGUGAAUCAUUUGCGUGGCAGCAUCAGAAUAAUGUGGUAUAUAGAAGUCUUCAUUGCACAGUACCAAAGUACGUUAACAUUGCUUAGAAGAAGCUUGUUGCAAAGCUCCUCAAGACUUAACAACAAAUUGUUGUCCUUCCAUACAAAGUGAAAACUCUGCAAACUGCAUUGCUUCUUUAGAACACACAGGAUCACUUAUCUUAAAUAACGCUGCACCGUUAAAGUGCUACUUGCAAAUAGCACUUCCAAAACCCACGUUCAGCCCCAUAUUUCUAUAGAUAUCACUGCGCACACCAAUUUAUAUAUAUUUAUAAAUAUAUAUACACACACACACACACACACACACACAC